rnacentral:lncRNA from 1 species
AAAUCCCCUUGUUAAUUUUUAAGAAGUGAGAAGAGAUACCUUCAAAAGACUCAGAAUGGAAAUUCAGCAAACUGAGGGCAGAGAUUUAUUGUAAGAGGGCAGAUUGGGAUAGACUGAUUUAUAGCCUAUACCCUAAGGCCACAUAUUAAGCAAUUAUAGCUAAGAAAUUUUAUUGGCAAGCCAUAUAAAAGAUUAUAAAGCAAAGAAUAUAGGAGAGAAAUAAUUUAUCCAAGCUAAUCAUGGCCAGAGAAGCAGGGCCCCCAAGGAACUGGGCUGGGUAAGACUCAGGGCAGUGCCAUGGAUGGAUUCUUUGCUCUAUGCCCAGCAAAUCUACCCUCCUCAUCACCAAUCAACUCCAGGCAAUUGCACACCCAUUAAAAUAGUCCCAGAGCACAUGUCAAAUAAGCCCAAAAUGCCUGGGAAGAGCAGCACCCAGUAAAUGGCACUGUGUGGCCUGAACUGCUCUAAGAUCCUGAGUCUCAGCCAGGACCUCACAACUUCUUGUUAAUUACCCAUUUGAAUGGGUAAUUACAUACAAAUUUCCUCUCUUAACUUUCUCAUCCAAUUUAUGUCAAUGUAGGAUGUAUUUUUAAAAAGAGUGACUGUCAGUCUAUGGAAACAGGGUGGUUUACAAGCCUAGAGCCAAUUUUCUGCUUAGCAUGUGCAGCACUAAAAAGAUAAUUUGGGUGAGGAAAGGAAGGAUUCUGUUGGGAGUGGUUAUUGCAGUUUUAG